rnacentral:lncRNA from 9 species
UUUUGAAACACUGUGGUUGCUAAAAGUGUAGGCGUCACUGGUGCUCUCUUUUGAGAGGAAAGAGUUGCCUUUUCUAUCUGCCUCUUUCUGCAGCUUGUUACCCUCUCCGGCCUCACACUCCACAACCACAGGGACAGGCAUGGCCAGGAGGCAAAUAGUCUUCAAGUUGGACAUCUUGUAGCGACUCAGGAGGAAAGCAUUCUCAAACGAAGAGAUGGCAACUUGAAAUCAGUGGAACCUGUUAGUUCAGAAUCACGGCUGCACUUUCACUUUCUACCAUCCUCCCGCAGGAGAACCACACACGCGCAUGCUUCUUGUGUUUGAUUAUUUUCCUGAUUCCUGGAUAUUCUAAAGAACUUUCCUUUGGCUCUUCCACUUUCGCUCUCAGAUGGUCAGUGUCUUAUUUCCCUGCGGCGUGUUUGAAGCCAGACGUCAAAGACAAAUCUGUUUGACCUUUUCAAAAGAAGUGCCACCAAGAUUUCGAUGAAGGGUAUGAAGCUGAUGCAGUCAUCUGGGAAAACUGACAUCGUACCAGCUGGUUCCUCAGGUGGCUUUUAUUCCUGGAGCCAGUUCUACCAUUUCUCAGAAACUGCUCACUUUUGCCCUCUCUCAACCAAGGACAGGUGUUGUCUGUCACACAGUUGAGCAGGGAACCUGCCUGAGACUCCGUUGGAGGUCGGGGGUUGAGGGGAAGAUUGAAAUCCCUCUGUGGUCUGAGAGAUUCAGAAUGGUGGCAUCUUGUAAAGAUCUUCAGUCCAGGAAAUUCUGGGAAAACAUGAUCUGGCUUUGGACCCAGUGAUUUUAGGGAACCUUAACUAUAAGCUCUGAUGAAUUAGCAGAAGAUUUUCAGUCAUAAUACUCCCACAUAGGAAUAUUCCAGAUCCUGACUGAAGGCUGGGAUUCUUGCAUUAGUCACAAAUGUUUCCUUUUUGCCUCGUUUUGCUUAUUUCUCUCUGGAAACAAGACAAGUCGGAAUUUCUUUGAGCAUCUUGGCUUUGGUCUGUGGCCACAUC